UACGUAGGGGGCAAGCGUUGUCCGGAUUUAUUGGGCGUAAAGAGCGUGUAGGCGGCCAGGUAGGUCUGCUGUGAAAACUCGAGGCUUAACCUCGAGCUGUCGGCGGAAACCAUCUGGCUAGAGUCCGGAAGAGGAGAAUGGAAUUCCCGGUGUAGCGGUGAAAUGCGUAGAUAUCAGGAGGAACACCGGUGGUGCAGACGGCAUCCUGGACCGACAUUGACGCUGAGGAGCGAAAGCCAGGGGAGCAAACGGG
rnacentral:rRNA from 1 species